AGAGCGAACGCUGGCGGCAGGCCUAACACAUGCAAGUCGAGCGCCCCGCAAGGGGAGCGGCAGACGGGAGAGUAACAUGUGGGAACGUACCCUUUGGUUCGGAACAACACAGGGAAACUUGUGCUAAUACCGGAUAAGCCCUUACGGGGAAAGAUUUAUUGCCAAAGGAUCGGCCCGCGUCUGAUUAGCUUGUUGGUGAGGUAACGGCUCACCAAGGCUACGAUCAGUAGCUGGUCUGAGAGGAUGAUCAGCCUCACUGGGACUGAGACACGGCCCAGACUCCUACGGGAGGCAGCAGUGGGGAAUAUUGGACAAUGGGCGCAAGCCUGAUCCAGCCAUGCCGCGUGGAUGAUGAAGGCCCUAGGGUUGUAAAGUCCUUUCGACGGGGAAGAUAAUGACGGUACCCGUAGAAGAAGCCCCGGCUAACUUCGUGCCAGCAGCCGC
rnacentral:rRNA from 1 species